rnacentral:rRNA from 1 species
GAGGCCAGCAGUAGGGAAUCUUCCGCAAUGGACGAAAGUCUGACGGAGCAACGCCGCGUGAGUGAUGAAGGUUUUCGGAUCGUAAAGCUCUGUUGUUAGGGAAGAACAAGUACCGUUCGAAUAGGGCGGUACCUUGACGGUACCUAACCAGAAAGCCACGGCUAACUACGUGCCAGCAGCCGCGGUAAUACGUAGGUGGCAAGCGUUGUCCGGAAUUAUUGGGCGUAAAGGGCUCGCAGGCGGUUUCUUAAGUCUGAUGUGAAAGCCCCCGGCUCAACCGGGGAGGGUCAUUGGAAACUGGGGAACUUGAGUGCAGAAGAGGAGAGUGGAAUUCCACGUGUAGCGGUGAAAUGCGUAGAGAUGUGGAGGAACACCAGUGGCGAAGGCGACUCUCUGGUCUGUAACUGACGCUGAGGAGCGAAAGCGUGGGGAGCGAACAGGAUUAGAUACCCUGGUAGUCCACGCCGUAAACGAUGAGUGCUAAGUGUUAGGGGGUUUCCGCCCUUUAGUGC